rnacentral:RNase_P_RNA from 1 species
GCUGGACAACAGCGGGCGGGUGUCCGAAAGGCCCCGCAUGAGGAAAGUCCGAGCUCCACAGGGCAGGAUAACUGCUAACGGCAGCCGGCGGCGACGCCCGGGAAAGUGCAACAGAGAGAUACCGCCCCGCAAGGGGUAAGGGUGGAAAGGCGAGGUAAGAGCUCACCAGCUUUGGGGUGACCCAAAGGCUAUGUAAACCCUAUCCGGAGCAACACCAAGCGGGAUCACAGGGGGCUGCCCGUCCCGAUCCCCAAAAGAGUGGCUGGAGCCUGCUGGCAACAGCAGGCCUAGAUAGAUUGUUGUCCCAGACAGAACUCGGCUUACAGGUUCACUCCU